GCCCAGGUGGCGGAAUUGGUAGACGCGCUAGCUUCAGGUGCUAGUGCCCGUAAGGCGUGGAAGUUCGAGUCUUCUCCUGGGCACCA
rnacentral:tRNA from 1 species